rnacentral:rRNA from 1 species
CGAAGGGUGCAAGCGUUACUCGGAAUUACUGGGCGUAAAGCGUGCGUAGGUGGUGAGUUAAGUCUGUCGUGAAAGCCCCGGGCUCAACCUGGGAAUGGCGAUGGAUACUGGCUCGCUAGAGUGCGGUAGAGGAGAGUGGAAUUCCCGGUGUAGCAGUGAAAUGCGUAGAGAUCGGGAGGAACAUCAGUUGCGAAGGCGGCUCUCUGGACCAGCACUGACACUGAGGCACGAAAGCGUGGGGAGCAAACAGGAUUAGAUACCCUGGUAGUCCACGCCCUAAACGAUGCGAACUGGACGUUGGGAGCAAUCAAGGCUCUCAGUGUCGAAGCUAAACGCGUUAAGUUCGCCGCCUGGGGAGUACGGUCGCAAGACUG